CCUGAUAGCUCAGUUGGUAAAGAAUCUGCCUGUGAUGCAGGAGACCCUGGUUUGAUUCCUGGGUCAGGA
rfam:Ovis aries breed Texel chromosome 2, whole genome shotgun sequence.